GAUAGGACAAACAAAGGCUGGGAAGAGGCAGAGCACGAAUGUAGCUAUCAACAGAAAAUGGUGAAGUCAGAAUGAGAGAAGAGAGAGAUCUGUUGUGGCCACGCUCAUGCACUGCCUCUUCCCUGGCUCUACCUCUUUCUUAUCC
rfam:Vigna angularis cultivar Jingnong 6 chromosome 3, whole genome shotgun sequence.